AUGGAUGGGAACACCAGAGGAGGUGGACAUUAUGAAGCAUUGAAGAGCUACAAUUUGGGCAAAACGUUCGGUGCAGGCACAUUUGGAAAAGUGAUGAUUGCAGAGCAUAAGCUUACAGGACACAAAGUUGCUAUAAAGAUUCUGAACCAUCGUAAAAUGAAAACUAUGGAAAUGGAAGAGAAAGCAAAUAGAGAAAUCAACAUAUUGAGGUUGUUCAUUGACUUCAUUCACUCUCAUAUCAUCCGGAUUUAUGAGGUCAUUGAGACACCGAAGGAUAUUUUUGUUGUGAUGGAAUAUUGCCAGAAUGGUGACCUAUUGGACUACAUUGUUGAGAAAAAAGGCGGUUACAGGAAGAUGAGGCCCGUCGAAUCUUCCAGCUGA
rnacentral:rRNA from 1 species